AGGGAGCCGACCAGCUUCCUCGGAGUCAAAUUGAAUUUAUGGUGCAGGAAAGUCCAUGAUGGUAAGUUACCAAAUGGCAGAUGCCGAUCAACACCACCAAACUGUUCUCUAACAACUCUGUCAGAUUGUUACCAUAGUUCUCCUUUGAAAUGCUGCUGGAAAUGGCUAGCUGUUGAAGAAUAAACGACGGUAUGUUGAUUGAUGAUAGUUCUCAUCCUCACUUCAAUGGUGAUGAUGACAUCAGUAAGGAAUUGCUGAUCUAAUGAAAUUUGACACUCCUGUAUGAUAAGUAACACAAUACAAUACUUUUCUGAAAUAAAAAAUGCAUUGGCAUUAAUCAGACAA